GACGGAGGGGGCCAGCGUUGUUCGGAAUCAUUGGGCGUAAAGGGCGCGUAGGCGGCCGACCAAGUCGGAGGUGAAAUCCCUCGGCUCAACUGAGGAACUGCCUCCGAUACUGUUCGGCUUGAGUCCCGGAGAGGGUAGUGGAAUUCCGAGUGUAGCGGUGAAAUGCGCAGAUAUCCGGAGGAACACCGGUGGCGAAGGCGGCUUCCUGGACCGACACUGACGCUGAGGCGCGAAAGCUAGGGGAGCAAACGGG
rnacentral:rRNA from 1 species